UACGGAGGGGGCGAGCGUUAUUCGGAAUCAUUGGGCGUAAAGGGCGCGUAGGCGGCUUCGUAAGUCUUGGGUGAAAGCCCUCGGCUCAACCGAGGAAUUGCCUUGGAUACUGCGAAGCUCGAGGCUGGAAGAGGACAGUGGAAUUCCCGGUGUAGCGGUGAAAUGCGUAGAUAUCGUGAGGAAGACCAGUGGCGAAGGCGGGUCUCUGGACAGUUCCUGACGCUGAGGCGCGAAGGCCAGGGGAGCAAACGGG
rnacentral:rRNA from 1 species